UUUGGAAUGGGUAACUGCUUAUAACAGCUAUUGCGGUAGCCAUUUUGAGAUGGCGCUCCAUUUGGGUAGCGUACUGGGUUCUCUCUUCACCAGUUACCUACCAUUUUCUCAUUUUGAAGAAAUAAAAAGGAGUUACUCUGAGGCCACACUUUUGUGGAGAAGUUCUGCCUUCAGAGAACAAGGUUAAACCACAGUGACUCUUCAGCUACACAGACCAAAACCUUCAAGAGCAGGGUGAAGAGUCGUUUUUCUCUUUCCAUACACGGCUUGUAACCCAGUGAGGGCUCGCAGUGGUUCCAAACACAGCUCCAUCGUUCCACAGUUUCAUGGACCGCCGAACCAUUUUGCCUCUAUGGUCUCCCGGCUUCUGGAAAACAGUUUUGCUCAAGGUCCUCUCCCCUCACGUACUCUAAGUAGCUCUGCCUGGUUCUAGUUUUGUUACUUAAACUCAGGAUUCAGUUUUGUUUGGAGAUUUCUGAGACUUCAUUCUCUUUCUAAAACUGCUGCUCCGAAACCUACUACUGUGAAAAUAGAGACAAACAAGAUGAAAUAAAGAAAGCAAGUGAGGAGGAGAAGAAGAGCCUAGCACUGGAGGGUUUGGUAGAUCUCUUUUCCAGAAGCACCAGGCCCUCAGCAUGAGACCCAUCUGAGCUCUGUCCAAGGAGGCCCGGCCUUUUUCCCAUCCCAUGGACUUUGUACUUCUCUCUCUUUCAGGGUGGGAGAUAAACUGCAGAAGGCAGCACCAUUUUUCACCUUUUCCAUCCUCAUUUGCAGAAUCUGGGUUUAGGUAAUAAAGAACCUCGCAAGAGCGCUGUUUCUGGAGCACAGGUGCGGCUUGUUCAUUCAGGCCUCAUCUUGGAUUUAUUCAGCACCUGCACUUGCAAAGCAAUCGACAUGUCUCUCCAACCUGAGCUUGAUGUAUCGAGUGAUGUGCUGCUUCCUUGUCUGUAAGAUGAGGAUGUUAGAUUUCACCCCCUGGAGGUCUCCUGUACUUCCGACACUGGUGAGAGUUACAUUCUGGCCUGGAACCACCUGUAUAGGAAAGCCACUUCCAGAUGCCUGUAACUUUCUGUGCUCUUUCCUAUGCCUCACUUACCAUCAUUGCGAUUUCCAGAUUUCCAGAUUUCCAGUAUGGAUGAGAAAACUUUUGUCUGUCUGUAUGUUAACGGAUCUUUGCAGUGGACCACAAUUCACAGGAAAAUCACUUACAGGCCCAGCCCGGAGAGCAAUCAAUGGGACAAGGAGAAGAAGAGUUACCUCCGUUUAAUUAGCUCCAGGUUCUCCUCCCUGUGUCAACAUGUCCUGCCUCUAAGUAUGUGAUCUGCUACUUUGCAAUAGGUGUGAGAGAUUUAUUCUACUUGGUCCAAUGGAUCAUUUUCCCAUGGCAUUUGGACUUGGGACAAAAAGAAGAAAUUGUCUGAAAGUAAUAAAUAUUCUGUAACAGAUCCAACAACUUGUAAUGAAUAUAUUUAACUACUAACAAAGCAAAAGGGAAGAAAGUCCUCCCACUUGGUGAGCCAUUGGUGUGUGCUAGUGGGUCAAGUUUCUGAGAAAAUUAAAAACAAAAAUUCUGACUUGAAUCAUUCAUGAAUUUUAAUGAGAUGUAAAUACUCCUGCUGUGACCAGUUUCAAGUUUCCAACCUUUCAGUUGUUUCACAAAAUUACUGGAUUUGGGGUGAUC
ensembl:lincRNA uncharacterized LOC102012909